GGGAUGUGAAUUAGAACAAUCUUGAUUCAUAUCAUAAGGGUUUUGGAUCAGUUUCGAGUCCAGAUUUCCAAAUUCAGACAAUCUUAUAUUCUAACUGGGCUUUAAAAGUGGGUUAGAACCGGGUAGGAUCCAGGUCCCUAAAUCUAGACAAUGUAAGUUCUUGCUAUAGAGCAUCAAAAUCAGAUCAAAAUUGGGUCAGUCCAGGGUUGACCAAAUCAAAAUCAUACAAGUCAACUCAAUCAAGUCAUAAUCCCAAACUAGUUGGAUUUGGCUGUAUGAAUCCCUUUUCUCCGAUUUGCUCCAUUUAGGGCAAUACUUUCUUAAAGAACCAAUUUGAAAUUUCUUUCGUCUUGGUCUUAUGCUUUGCUUGCUGUUUAUGUCAGUCACAUUGGGUCAGGUUUAGAACAAUCAGCCUAAUUAAAAUGUCUCUGGUUUCAAACAUAUAGUGUCAUCCUACAUUCAUGUUUGGAUUUGGUUGAAGGUCGAACAGAACUAUAACAGGAAGCUCCUGUCCAACCCUAACUCAAAUUUCUUUUUCGAUGCUGC
rnacentral:lncRNA from 1 species